rnacentral:rRNA from 1 species
AUACGGAGGGUGCAAGCGUUGUUCGGAAUCACUGGGCGUAAAGGGCGCGCAGGCGGUUUGUUAAGUCAGAUGUGAAAGCCCACGGCUCAACCGUGGAAGUGCAUUUGAAACUGGCAGACUUGAGUACCGGAGGGGGAAGUGGAAUUCCCGGUGUAGAGGUGAAAUUCGUAGAUAUCGGGAGGAAUACCGGUGGCGAAGGCGACUUCCUGGCUGGAUACUGACGCUGAGGCGCGAAAGCGUGGGGAGCAAACAGAAUUAGAAACCCUUGUAGUCC